rnacentral:rRNA from 1 species
UACAGAGGUCUCAAGCGUUGUUCGGAUUCAUUGGGCGUAAAGGGUGCGUAGGUGGCGAUGUAAGUCUGGUGUGAAAUCUCGGGGCUCAACCUCGAAAUGGCAUUGGAUACUGCGUUGCUUGAGGAUUGUAGAGGAGAGUGGAAUUCACGGUGUAGCAGUGAAAUGCGUAGAUAUCGUGAGGAAGACCAGUUGCGAAGGCGACUCUCUGGGCAAUUCCUGACACUGAGGCGCGAAGGCCAGGGGAGCAAACGGG